AGCGAACGCUGGCGGCAGGCCUAACACAUGCAAGUCGAACGAACCUUUCGGGGUUAGUGGCGGACGGGUGAGUAACACAUGGGAACGUGCCUUUAGGUUCGGAAUAACUCAGGGAAACUUGUGCUAAUACCGAAUGUGCCCUUCGGGGGAAAGAUUUAUCGCCUUUAGAGCGGCCCGCGUCUGAUUAGCUAGUUGGUUGAGGUAAUGGCUCACCAAGGCGACGAUCAGUAGCUGGUCUGAGAGGAUGAUCAGCCACAUUGGGACUGAGACACGGCCCAAACUCCUACGGGAGGCAGCAGUGGGGAAUCUUGCGCAAUGGGCGAAAGCCUGACGCAGCCAUGCCGCGUGAAUGAUGAAGGUCUUAGGAUUGUAAAAUUCUUUCACCGGGGACGAUAAUGACGGUACCCGGAGAAGAAGCCCCGGCUAACUUCGUG
rnacentral:rRNA from 1 species